GAUGAAGAACGUAGCGAAAUGCGAUACGUAAUGUGAAUUGCAGAAUUCAGUGAAUCAUCGAAUCUUUGAACGCAUAUUGCGCUCUCUGGUAUUCCGGAGAGCAUGCUUGUUUGAGUAUCAGUAAACACCUCAACUUCCAUAUCUUUUUUGAAAUGGGAGUUGGACUUGAGUGAUCCCAACGCUUUUCCUCACCGAAAAGUGGCGGGUUACUUGAAAUGCAGGUGCAGCUGGACUUUUCUUUGAGCUAUAAGCAUAUCUAUUUAGUCUGCCUAAAAAACAGAUUAUUACCUUUGCUGCAGCUAACAUAAAGGAGAUUAGUUCUUGUGCUGACUGAUGCAGGAUUCACAAAGACAGGCUUCGGCCGACUUUGUAAACUCGAUCUCAAAUCAAGUAAGACUACCCGCUGAACUUAAGCAUAUCAAUAACGGAGGA
rnacentral:misc_RNA from 1 species